UCCCCUGUAGCUCAACUGGCAGAGCGUUCGGCUGUUAACCGAAGGGUUGAAGGUUCGAGUCCUUCCGGGGGAGCAA
rnacentral:tRNA from 1 species